AAUCAACGCUGGCGGCGUGCCUAACACAUGCAAGUCGAACGCCCUACGCUUGCGUAGGGAGUGGCGGACGGGUGAGGAACACGUGGGUCAUCUACCCAGAGGUGAGGAAUACCGGCGAGAAAUCGCCGACAAUACCGCAUACGUUCUGAAAAGAACAAAGUCGCAAGACGCCUUUGGAUGAGCCUGCGCCCGAUUAGUUAGUUGGUGGGUAAAAGCCUACCAAGACUGCAAUCGGUAGCUGGUCUGAGAGGACGAUCAGCCACACUGGGAUUGAGAACGGCCCAGACUCCUACGGGGGCGG
rnacentral:rRNA from 1 species